rnacentral:rRNA from 1 species
AGAACGAACGCUGGCGGCAGGCUUAACACAUGCAAGUCGAACGGGCACCUUCGGGUGUCAGUGGCAGACGGGUGAGUAACGCGUGGGAACGUACCCUUCGGUUCGGAAUAACCCAGGGAAACUUGGGCUAAUACCGGAUACGUCCGUAAGGAGAAAGAUUUAUUGCCGAAGGAUCGGCCCGCGUCGGAUUAGCUAGUUGGUGGGUAGUGGCCCACCAAGGCGACGAUCCGUAGCUGGUCUGAGAGGAUGAUCAGCCACACUGGGACUGAGACACGGCCCAGACUCCUACGGGAGGCAGCAGUGGGGAAUAUUGGACAAUGGGCGAAAGCCUGAUCCAGCCAUGCCGCGUGAGUGAAGAAGGCCUUAGGGUUGUAAAGCUCUUUCAGCGGGAAGAUAAUGACGGUACCCGCAGAAGAAGUCCCGGCUAACUUCGUGCCAGCAGCCGC